ensembl:snRNA U1 U1 spliceosomal RNA
AUACUUACCUGGCAGGGAUGACACCAUGAUCAUGAAGGUGGUUUGUCUUCGGCGAGGCUUUGCCAUUGCACUCCGGCAUUCUGACCCGAACGAAUUCCCCACAUGUGGGAAUCUCGACUGCACAAUUUAUGGUAGUGGGGGACUGCGUACGCGCUCUCCCCCU